rnacentral:rRNA from 1 species
AGAGUUUGAUCCUGGCUCAGAACGUACGCUGGCGGCACGCCUAAUACAUGCAAGUCGAACGAAGUAGCAAUACUUAGUGGCAGACGGGUGAGUAACAUGUGGGUAUCUUCCCUUUGGUGAGGAAUAACACGAGGAAACUUGUGCUAAUACCUCAUAAGUCUUUACGGAGAAAGCUUUAUGCGCCAUUGGAUGAGCCUGCACUUGAUUAGUUUGUUGGUGGGGUAAUGGCCUACCAAGACAAUGAUCAAUAGCUGAUUUGAGAGGAUGAUCAGCCACAUUGGGACUGAGACACGGCCCAAACUCCUACGGGAGGCAGCAGUAGGGAAUCUUGCACAAUGGAGGAAACUCUGAUGCAGCGAUGCCGCGUGAGUGAAGAAGGCCUUUGGGUUGUAAAGCUCUUUCGUCGGGGAAGAAAAUGACUGUACCCGAAUAAGAAGGUCCGGCUAACUUCGUGCCAGCAGCCGCGGUAAUACGAAGGGACCUAGCGUAGUUCGGAAUUACUGGGCUUAAAGAGCUCGUAGGUGGUUAGAAAAGUUAGUGGUGAAAUCCCAAGGCUUAACCUUGGAACUGCCACUAAAACUUUUUAACUAGAGUAUGAUAGAGGUAAGCGGAAUUUCUAGUGUAGAGGUGAAAUUCGUAGAUAUUAGAAAGAACACCAAUUGCGAAGGCAGCUUUCUGGAUCAUUACUGACACUGAGGAGCGAAAGCAUGGGUAGCGAAGAGGAUUAGAUACCCUCGUAGUCCAUGCCGUAAACGAUGUGUGCUAGACGUUGGAAAUUUAUUUUUCAGUGUCGCAGCAAAAGCGUUAAGCACACCGCCUGGGGAGUACGACCGCAAGGUUAAAACUCAAAUGAAUUGACGGGGACCCGCACAAGUAGUGGAGCAUGUGGUUUAAUUCGAAGAUACGCGCAGAACCUUACCAACACUUGACAUGUUCGUCGCGACUCUAAGAGAUUAGAGUCUUCGGUUCGGCCGGACGAAACACAGGUGCUGCAUGGCUGUCGUCAGCUCGUGUCGUGAGAUGUUGGGUUAAGUCCCGCAACGAGCGCAACCCUUACUUUUAGUUGCUACCAUUUAGUUGGGCACUCUAAAAGAACUGCCAGUGAUAAGCUGGAGGAAGGUGGGGAUGACGUCAAGUCCUCAUGGCCCUUACGUGUUGGGCUACACACGUGCUACAAUGGUACUUACAAUGAGAUGCGAAGAGGCGACUCUAAGCCAAUCCCAAAAAAGUACCUCAGUUCGGAUUGUACUCUGCAACUCGAGUACAUGAAGCUGGAAUUACUAGUAAUCGUGGAUCAGCGCGCCACGGUGAAUACGUUCCCGGGUCUUGUACACACCGCCCGUCACACCAUGGAAGUUGGUUACACCUUAAGGCAAAUUGUUAACCUUCGGGAAACAUUUGACUACGGUACGAUCAGCGACUGGGGUGAAGUCGUAACAAGGUAACC